UGGCGAACGGGUGAGUAACACGUGGGUGAUCUGCCCUGCACUCUGGGAUAAGCCUGGGAAACUGGGUCUAAUACCGGAUAGGACCAUGCUUUAGUGUGUGUGGUGGAAAGUUUUUUCGGUGUAGGAUGAGCUCGCGGCCUAUCAGCUUGUUGGUGGGGUAAUGGCCUACCAAGGCGGCGACGGGUAGCCGGACUGAGAGGUUGGUCGGCCACAUUGGGACUGAGAUACGGCCCAG
rnacentral:rRNA from 1 species